CCUGAAUUACCAGGUUCCAAGAUAUCAAGAUCUAUCUGUUGGUCAGGUGAUUUUGCAAGGCAGGCGAGUGAAUCACAGAAGGGAAACUUUCUCAUCCUUGAAGAAAUAAGCAAAUAAAUGUUAUUGUGGUCUUCAACCCAGCCAAUACUGUGAAAAUAAGCAUUAUGACGUUACAAGUACAAGUGCAGUCUUCAGAACCAAACUUUCCAAGCACAAAUCUUGCCACUCCUGCUUACCAGCUGUCCACUCUAGAGGUUGUUUUGAAUACAAAACCUACCUAUUUAGGAAGAAAUCUUUCAGAGAAGAUGAAGAGGAAAAAUUCAGAAAUCAUCACUGGUAGAAGCAGCAAUUUUCCUAAAAGCCCAU